CCUGCGCUGAAAGGGGCUGUGGAUCUGUGCAUUACAGACUGGGGAAAAGCUCCAUUCUUUGCUAAAGGCUUUUCUCCUCUCUCUCUAUCUUUCCCCCCCUCUUCCUCUCGCCCUUCUCUCCUCUCUAUUCUUAUUCACCUCCCUCCCUUCAUUCCCUCGACUGGGAUUUUUUUUCUCCGCCUCUUCUCCCCCCCCCCCCCUCCCCACCCCCACUCCCACACCCCCUCCUCCUCUCUCUCCCCCCCUCCCCGUUCCUUGCCUUUGAUCGGAGGAGAAUACACACAAAAAUAAUCCACCCCGUCAGCUCGGAAAGUCUUCAGUGUGAUGGGUACAGCAGAAAUCUCGUGCCUUGGGAUGGACGGAAGGACCAGGUUGUCAUGGUCGUUAUGGAUUCCGGGAGAUUACUGCUGCUGAAACUAUUUGUGGAGGAUCGUGUUUUUUUUAU